rnacentral:misc_RNA from 1 species
UUGAAUAAACUUGGUCAAGCUGUUGCUGGUCCUUCGGAACAUGUGCACGCUUGCCACCAAUUUUAACCACCUGUGCACCUUUUGUAGACUGGAAAACUAAUUCUCGAGGCAACUCGGAUUGAGAACUGCUGUGCGCAAGCCGGCUGUUCUUGUGUUUCUCAGUCUAUGUUUAUACAUACCCCAAAUGAAUGUAUUAGAAUGUAUUGCUAGGCCUUAGCGCCUUUAAAUCAAAUA